rnacentral:lncRNA from 1 species
GUCACCUCCUCACGCUGCGGCUGUCGCCCGUGUCCCGCCGGCCCGUUCCGUGUCGCCCCGCAGUGCUGCGGCCGCCGCGGCACCAUGGCUGUGUUUGUCGUGCUCCUGGCGUUGGUGGCGGGACCUUUCUUGGCCAGGACUCGCAGUGGGUAACCUGUUUCAUCGUCCUCGGGCUACCGUCAUGGUGAUGGUGAAGGGAGUGAACAAACUGGCUCUACCCCCAGGCAGUGUCAUUUCGUACCCUUUGGAGAAUAGAGUGUAUAUGGUAGGGAAGGCAAACUCAGUGUUUGAAGACCUUUCAGUCACCUUGCGCCAGCUCCGUAAUCGCCUGUUUCAAGAAAACUCUGUUCUCAGUUCACUCCCCCUCAAUUCUCUGAGUAGGAACAAUGAAGUUGACCUGCUCUUUCUUUCUGAACUGCAAGUGCUACAUGAUAUUUCAAGCUUGGGAGAGACAACAUAUCUUCCAAGAACACAAGCCUGGGCGUAAGAACACCCUGGCCAUAGUCCUAACUUGGCUGUUGAUUUCUUCUGUCUCGUCAUAAGCAUCUAGCCAAGGAUCAUUCUCCUGAUUUAUAUUCACUGGAGCUGGCAGGUUUGGAUGAAAUUGGGAAGCGUUAUGGGGAAGACUCUGAACAAUUCAGAGAUGCUUCUAAGAUCCUUGUUGACGCUCUGCAAAAGUUUGCAGAUGACAUGUACAGUCUUUAUGGUGGGAAUGCAGUGGUAGAGUUAGUCACUGUCAAGUCAUUUGACACCUCCCUCAUUAGGAAGACAAGGACUAUCCUUGAGGCAAAACAAGCG